CACGCAGGCGGUUUGGUAAGUCAGGGGUGAAAGCCCACAGCUUAACUGUGGGAUUGCCUCUGAUACUGCCUUUCUGGAGUGCAGGAGAGGGAAGCGGAAUUCCGAGUGUAGAGGUGAAAUUCGUAGAUAUUCGGAGGAACACCGGUGGCGAAGGCGGCUUCCUGGCCUGUAACUGACGCUCAGGUGCGAAAGCGUGGGGAGCAAACAGGAUUAGAUACCCUGGUAGUCCACGCCCUAAACGAUGGGCACUAGGUGUGGGAGGUAUCGACCCCUUCCGUGCCGCAGCUAACGCAUUAAGUGCCCCCGCCUGGGGAGUACGGCCGCAAGGUUGAA
rnacentral:rRNA from 1 species